AAAUAUAAGUGACCCAAAUGAAUUUUUACCCCAAGUCCGACCCAACCCGACCCGCCUAAACCGACCCGACCUUAUAGACUUGCCUUUUAACCCCCAAACCCACUAACCUUCUUCAUUUUCACCGUAAACCGACCCGACCCUAUAGACUUGCUUUUUAACCCCCAAACCCACUAACCUUCUUCAUUUUCACCGCCUCAUAUUUUCUAACCAACAAUGGCGAUUCUGUAGGGUUUGCUGGAGCUGAUUUUGGAGGUCAACAAUCUGUGAUAUUGCUGUUCUUGG
rnacentral:lncRNA from 1 species